GACUCCUCUAGAGAGCUCCUUGCCUUCCCUUCUCACCACCAGCCUCAUCCACUAGAGGUUGCUCUUAUAUCUAAUCCACGAUUACUCUUGGCAGCACAAUCCCUUCAAACCACACAUUUUGAGUAACAGAAACCCUGAAGACAGCUAAAGGAUGUCAAGAUACUCAAGACAUCUUUUUCAUGACAAAAAUCUUAUCCAGGAGCUGAAUUCCUCCCCACUUGAAAAGUCAGAGAGCAGUUAGAGCCAGAAGAGAUCAACCUGGAGAGAGUAGAAAAUGUCAUGGAAUCCAAGGACUACCAUAGCCAAAAAUGACUCUGAUUUCAGAUGUGAGGUAAGGGGACAUAAUGGCACAGAAUAGUUGAUGCAAGGAAUAAAUAUGGCUACAAGUUCUUCACUAUUCCUUUCAUUAAGAGGAAAAUCUAAUUCCCUUCCCCUGGGAUCCAGGCUAGCUUUAGUCACUGUUUGACCAAUGGAGUGCAGUGGAUGUGAAGCUGUCAUAAGAAGACUUGUGACUUCCUCCUGUGCUUCUUGAAACACUCAUUCCUUAAACCCACCUGCCAUGCUGUGAGACAGAUGGUAGGGGAGCUUUGUGGGAAGCAAAUUAUGCCUUUGCACACAGCCUUGGCUGAGGACUCAGCCAGUAGCCAGCAGCAGCUCACUAGCCUUGUGGUAGAACUACCUUGGAAGUAGAUCCUUCAGGUUCAGUUGAGAAGCCUCUUCAGGGGAUGCUGUGUGGAGCAGAAACACUCAGUCACCCAGAAGCCCUGCCCCAAAUGCACAUUCAUGAGCAAAAUAAAUUAUGUUUCUUGAUUUAAGUUACCAAAUUUGGGGAUGGUUUGCUAUACAGCAGAAUAUAACUGAAACACAUGGCCAAAAUAUUUCUAAUUGCACAACGAUCCCUCUACAUGAUUGGAAGCUAACAGUUAAAGUUAAUACUUUCCAAAAGCCUAACAUAGCAUAUCUAAAACCAUAAAGAGAACUCAGCAUUGAAGAUGUAAGUAUGAAAUAUAUUCUACCACUCCUUCAAGAUAACUUUUGGGUUCUUGUCUCUGAGCGUAUGGGUUGAAGAAGAGAAAAAGUUGAGGAAGUGCUGGGGAUGAACUGUUGUCUGCUCCUCCCAGAAGGAAGAUCAGUUAGAAGAGGGACGCCCAGGAAGGCAAGUGUUAAGUGGUCAAAGUAAAGGCGGACACAUCUAAAACAAAUCUCUGCAGGUCAAGUGAAAUGUCAUUACUGAAUAAGUUUCCAGACUUCUCUGCGAGGGAUACUUACAGAGAAAUGUUUUAUCUUAAAUACCAACUCAAAUGUCACAGGAAUUCCUAAUGAAGUUCGAUAAAAGAAAGUAUUUUUUUCCUGUAUAACUAAAAUGAAAAUAUCUCCAGGAUAUCAAUGAGAUGAGGACACACCAAGAAUGUAGCUAAUAGAUAUUGAAAGAAUGACUUAAUUGUCCUGGCAAAGUUAUUCACGAUGUUUUGGUGCUUGACAUCAUCACAGUUCUUUGUUUACUGGGUUGUGUUUGAUGAAAGGAUAAAAAUUAUUUUAGAAACAGAAGUGCUCAAGAGAACAAGAAACUAGCAUAAUUUGGAACACAUGGAAGAAUAUCAGAAAAUAGUCUGGAGCAAAUUUAAGAGUUUGUCAUGUGAAAAAAUAAUUCUCAAUUCUCAAUAUAAUGCCAUUAUAAGAAUCAAGUCAUAAAGAAUUAAAGAGUUCAGAAGUGCCUUAACUGUUUGUUUUACUAUUUGAUGAAGAAACGUCUCUAAGACAGUCAAUCUAGCACACGGAGGCCAAAGCUUGUUAAAGAUACAUGAUACACAGCAGAGCAGGGGCAUUUGCAAUAUGUUUGCGUAUGAAGGCAGACAUCCUGUGAGCAGUUGGUAAAUAUUAAUGAGAUUGAAAUAUAUGCUUCUAAUACUGACAUGGACAGUUUCUCAUCAGUGGAAUGCUUUGAGAAACUUCACCGAGUAGAGUCCUCAUAGGAAAUUCCCAUAGCAUUGGACAGAUAAGAAU
rnacentral:lncRNA from 1 species